UUUUUUUUUUUUUUUUUUUUUUUUUUUUUCAAGUGGCAGGGACGGUUUGAGAUCUUUUCUUCAUCUAAAGCCUACUUUUAUCAACCGGCGAAAGCCAAGCUCUCUGCGACUGGUCAAAUGAUUCGUCGCUCCCCGGCGACUGAAAGAGCCAUUCAACAGUGAUAAAUGUAUGUCCGACUCUGAUUACGAUUCUCUUUUAUUUUAUUUAUUUGUUUAUUAUUUUUUCCUUUUUGUCAUGUGUUUGGGUUUGAUUUACAUGACAUGUAGUAUUUCUUCUUUUUAUUUCAGUUAUUUUAUUUUAUUUUUCUUCUUUUUAUUCCAAUUAUUUUAUUUUAUUUUUCUUCUUUUUUUUGGGGGGUUUUGAACUUUUGAUUUAGAAGACAUUGAGUAGUUCUUCUUCUUAUUUGAUUUUUUUAUGUUUUUUGGGAGUGGUUUGGGUAUGAUUUAGAGGACAUUUGAGUUUCAGCGUAUAGAUUUAUUGAUUUGAAGAUUAUUAAUAUUAUUAUUAUUUUGAUGAUUUGUCUUCGAAUAAUUUACUGUUUAGUAUCGACUAGAAUUUUGGAUCUGCAAUAUUCUGGGAAAUUUUAGCUCCGAAUUGAUGCGGAAAUGAAGUUUUUUUUGAACAAUAUGAAUUUGACUUGUGAUAAUAUUUUUUUCUUUAUGGUACAAAAUUGUGACGUUGUGGAGUCGACGGAUUGCGAGGUAAUGAAGAGGACGUUAAUGGGAGUUCCCUAAGGGCUAAGGUUUUGGGUUUGUCGCAGUUUCUUGCAGUGUCCACACUGUGGUGAUCAGUGGCAUAUUUUUGGUAAAGGAGGGGCUCAUAAGACAGCUGAUGAUAUGGGAUUGGGAUUUCUCGGUGAGUUUAGCAAUGGCAACGGUGUGGACAAAUUUGGCACCUAAGCUGGAUUUGGUUAGAGCCUCAGCCAAGACCAUCACAGCUGACCCACUGUCGAUGGGCUGCAAUCAGGCUGAACCAACAUCUGGCUAUCUUAGCUCAACUCAUCAAAUCAAACAGCUGUUCAAGCUCCGCUCGAUUGCGAUAGAGUUUGGGUACAAGGGAUUUCAUUGAGUUAGGAUACAUUGAUACAAGGGUUGCAGCUCGACUUGGGUUUAGCUGAUAAAUUGUUAUAUGAUUUCGGGAUAUUGGUCGUGAUCACAAGUAAAAAACUAAAUAAAAUUGUACUUUUAUGUAUUCAUAUUAUAUUUGGGUGAAGUGAAACUAAAAAAACACCCUCAUAAUAUGCCCAUAGAAUGCUUGCCAAAUUUUUUUCCUAAACUAUAUAUUUGCAAAUAAAAAUAAAAAAUAAAAUAAAAUAAAAAAGGUAGGAGAACCGGACUCUUCAAUUUGGAAGAAUCUCUUUUCCUUCAUUUGAUUUUUUUGUGUUUUUUUUUUUUAACUUUAGUGGUAGGGACCGGUUAGUGGGUUUUAGCCUGAUCGAUUAAUUUUUCUCAUGUAGAAUUGGGUUCAAAAAAUUAAUUUCACCCAGCUUGGCUAUUAGUUUGUCCUAUUUGGUGCUAAUUAUCUUGAUAUGGAAAUUACAACCAAAAUCAAGAUUUCUUCAAAAAAAUGUAUCAACUUUAUUCCUUUUUAAAUUUUUUAUAAAUACAAUUUCUUCACAUUCUUUUGUAAAGUGACUAUUAUCAAAUAUGGUGAUAUAUUAUUAAAGAACAUUAUUGUAAAAUUAGCAACAAAUUCUUGUAUGACCAAUUUUUUUGCACAUUAUCUCUAAAUAUGUUAGUUAUUGAACAUGAGGUUAAUGAUCUAUAUUGGAGUUGCAUAAAUUGGGAGAGAUUUAUAAAACUAUUUUAAGAUAUUAAUGAAUUGCAAUUUCAAAUCAUGUAUUAAUAUUAAGUUGAUACCAUGUGACAUACUCCCUCCGUCCCUUUUUAGU